AGAAUCAACGCUGGCGGCGCGCUUAACACGUGCAAGUCGCACGAGAAAGUGGAGCAAUCCAUAAGUAAAGUGGCGUACGGGUGAGUAACACGUGGAUCAUCUACCUUUUAGUGGGGAAUACCCCUGGGAAACCGGGGAUAAUACCGCAUAAGCUCGUAAGAGGAAAGCAGCAAUGCGCUGAAAGAGGAGUCCGCGGCUGAUUAGCUAGUUGGUGAGGUAAUGGCUCACCAAGGCGAAGAUCGGUAGCCGGCCUGAGAGGGCACACGGCCACACUGGCACUGAAACACGGGCCAGACUCCUACGGGAGGCAGCAGUGGGGAAUCUUGCACAAUGGAGGAAACUCUGAUGCAGCGACGCCGCGUGAGCGAUGAAGCCCUUCGGGUGUAAAGCUCUUUCGACGGGAACGAUAAUGACGGUACCGAAGAAGAAGCUGCGGCUAACUACGUGCCAGCAGCCGCGGUAA
rnacentral:rRNA from 1 species